rnacentral:rRNA from 1 species
GAUGUUGCCUGAAAAGUUUUGCAUGGAAUAAUGGAAUAGGACUUCGGUUCUAUUUCGUUGGUUUUCGGAUCCGAAGUAAUGAUCAAAAGAGACAGGCGGGGACGUUUGUAUGGCUGCGCUAGAGGUGAAAUUCAUGGACCGUAGCCAGACAAACUAAAGCGAAAGCAUUCGUCAAGCAUGUUUUCAUUGGCCAUGAGCGAAAGUCAGAGGCUCGAAGACGAUCAGAUACCGUCCUAGUUCUGACCAUAAACGAUGCCAACUGACGAUCCGUGGUGGUAGUUCAUCAACCUUCCCCACGGGCAGUCCCCGGGAAACCUUUAAGUCUUUGGGUUCCGGGGGAAGUAUGGUUGCAAAGCUGAAACUUAAAGGAAUUGACGGAAGGGCACCACCAGGAGUGGAGCCUGCGGCUUAAUUUGACUCAACACGGGAAAACUCACCCGGCCCGGACACUAUGAGGAUUGACAGAUUGAANGC